GUAGGGGGCAAGCGUUGUCCGGAAUCAUUGGGCGUAAAGCGCGUGUAGGCGGUCCGGUAAGUCGGCUGUGAAAGUCCAGGGCUCAACCCUGGGAUGCCGGUCGAUACUGCCGGACUAGAGUUCGGAAGAGGCGAGUGGAAUUCCCGGUGUAGCGGUGAAAUGCGCAGAUAUCGGGAGGAACACCAAUGGCGAAGGCAGCUCGCUGGGACGUUACUGACGCUGAGACGCGAAAGCGUGGGGAGCAAACAGGAUUAGAUACCCUGGUAGUCCACGCCGUAAACGAUGGGCACUAGGUGUGGGAGGUGUCGACUCCUCCCGUGCCGGAGCUAACGCAUUAAGUGCCCCGCCUGGGGAGUACGGCCGCAAGGCUAAA
rnacentral:rRNA from 1 species